rnacentral:rRNA from 1 species
AUACGGAGGGUGCAAGCGUUGUUCGGAUUUAUUGGGCGUAAAGCGCGCGCAGGCGGAUCUUUAAGUCAGGUGUGAAAUCUCGGGGCUCAACCCCGAAACUGCGCCUGAAACUAUUGAUCUAGAAUCUUGGAGAGGGAAGGGGAAUUUCACGUGUAGGGGUAAAAUCCGUAGAGAUGUGAAGGAACACCAGAAGCGAAGGCGCCUUCCUGGACAAGUAUUGACGCUGAGGCGCGAAAGCGUGGGGAGCAAACAGGAUUAGAUACCCUGGUAGUCCACGCCGUAAACGAUGAGUACUAGUUAUUGGAGGUAUUGACCCCUUCAGUGACGCAGCUAACGCAUUAAGUACUCCGCCUGGGAAGUACGGUCGCAAGACUAAA